rnacentral:lncRNA from 1 species
CGGCUCCUCACGAAUGCUAAUUCAUCGCAGAAUCCUUUUGACGAUUGAUGCUGAUCGAACUCCUUCGAUCGGUGUCUAUCGAUUCCUCAGAUACUCCAGAUCGUCAGCAGAGAUAGUAGAGAGGUUGAUGAAGCUCUUUCUGAAGUUUGGUGGGCUCACGACACUCAUAGCUCACCUUCUCACUUCCCGAACCCUAGGCAAAAACCCUAGGGUACUCACAGAAAACCUUGCGCCCACUUUCUUUCUUUUCUUUUCUCUCAGAAUCUUUUGAACUUCCAAUCUCAUGCACAAGGCCUUCUCACACAACCUUCUAUCUUAGAUAAAUUGUGUGCAUGCCCCACCUUCUCUUUCCUUUUAAAACAGUGCAAGAU